ensembl:lncRNA
CAAGACUUCAGAGCUGUCUCUGUGCAGCACUGGCUGAAGCAGAGGCACAGAGGCAGCUGCCAGCCCUGCAGAAAAAAGCUCUGGAGUUGGUGCUGGCAGGAGGCGGGAGCCGUGAAACUGCAGGAGUGAGUGCAGAGCGUGCCAGCCAGAGUUAAACACCCAUUGAUUGACUUCCGUGCUGAACUCCGCAGGGGAAUGCAAGAGCUACCCAUCAAUACUGGCAAAUCCAGGGAUUCCCCAUGAUCAUUGUGAGCAAUGCCAUACUUCUUUUGGAUUAUGAGGGUCAGGCAUCUGGGGUUUUUGUAGAAGUAUAAUACAGCAAAGGUGGAGAUCUGCUGGAACAAUGCUCCCAAACAACUCUCACCAGCUCUGAGUAACUUAAGACUGAAUGCAGUCUUCUUGACUUCAGUCUUUUUGUUGUUGUUGUUGUUGUUGUGCUGAUGUUAACAAUUGAGAUGUUUUCACAUUAUUCAUCAGCAUUCCCACUGAUUACACAAACCUUUAAAGGAAAAUACAUUCAUCUUCUGUUACCAGUCUGAAGGUUCAUGCGGUGAGAAAAAUCGCUCAUCGUGAGUAAACUGAGAAAUACAAUGCUACAGCUCCCGUGAGUCAGACUUGUCCAGUAACCAAAGGCAGAAUGCAGGCAGUACAGUACAGCACAAAGCAAAUGCUUUUAGAGGUCACACCAAGGAUAACGCAGGACAAGCAAUUGGCUCAGGAGCUGGAGAAAAGCGUCAUGAAAAACAGCCAAGUGAGAACAGGGGAAGUGGGUUAGAUGUUGCAGCAUCUCUACAUCGAAGUUGCCAGCUAAGUGCAUUUUUUUCCUGGAGACCUGCUAAAACCUAACACGACAGUAUGUUCCUUCUGUGCGAGAUGAAACAGCGGCACUGCCAGUAGGAAUAUGUCAACAUGGUAAAUUUUCGCCUCUCUGGAAGUGGGCAGCUCGAUGAUUGCAGCCUGACUGUGACACCGAGGAACAUUACUGUCGGCUCUGCUACUUCAGACCAGAGAGGAAAUGCAAAGACUCUUCCCAAGGCUGAUGGUGCUGUUUCCUGUCUUUCCUGUCUCACAACAGAUUGGCAUGUGACAUAAGGAAGAUUCUCCUUUUGCCCAGCAUCACAGAGAAAAUGACUGUGGAAGAAGUCACGUUCCUCCUGACAAUGCCAUCUGCAUGACUGUGCAUCUACGGACCCACAUAACCCCUCCCCCCUGGGACCUUACAAAUAUUGACCUGGGUUAAGCCAUGGUUGGUCAGGAGGGGGCUGAUGUAUGGGAGGGGCUGGGGACAUGGCCAGGACAGCCCAAUGCUCUGUGGUGCCAUGAGGCAGGUAUGAGGCUUUGCUGGGAAGCCCAGAAGGCAAGUCAGGACCAUGAUCAAGGCCAUCAGCAUCAAAGGUCAGGUGCAGUCAGAGCAGCAAGGUGCCUCCAGCAGGUGGGGGCCUGAGCUCUGUGAAGGUCCCACCACAGCUGAAGACCCAGAGGAGGUUGAUCAUGAUGUUUUCUCACAACGUGGCAGUUUUCUAUGAAGCUGCAUCCCAGGUUACAUGCCUGCACUAGAUCAGGACAGACCUUGAUUACAAAUGCUUCAAACCUGGAGGAAGACUACAGGGAAUUUAGAGGCAGCAGGUCAGUGAUGGCUUGUUAUUGCCCAUGUCCUGCUGUUAUUCAUAGCGCUACCUUUAGUGCUCUUGUGGAUGAGAAAUAGCAGACAUGAAAACCCUGGAUGUCUUUUAGCUACAUCCUCUGAUUAACCUCCUGGAAGCUGACACAAUUCUUUGGUUUCCAAGUGAUGCCAGAGUGGAAUAAGGGCCAACCCCAUGACAGGCCCAUGUUUUAGAACAAUGAAUUAACGCAGAAAACUAGUCAUCCACAGAUCAAUCAGAAGCCUUAAUAAGAGUUUUUAGGAGGCUGAGCUUAAGAGAUUUUUGCCUUGAUUCUCCCUAAGCAAAACCUGGGUAGUCUGGAAUGGUUCUGAACUGUGUGAAUGGGUGAUGGAUGAAAGAUUCCCCAGGUACUGUGUACAAAGCAACACCACUGACCCAAAUGGUUCCUUGAAAGCUAGUCUGCUUUAUCUUGUCAGUGAUCCACAGAUAAUAGGUAUCUGGGGUAUUUUUGAACCAGGUUUUUCAAUUCAUAAGGCAGUAGGGAUGCUCUGAAUUGCCAAGUCUGGGCAAACUUUGGCACAUCUUGAAGCGUAUUUGAAGGGCUUAAAGCAAUGUCUCACAGACUUUUAUUGAACUUGUAACAGAUUGAAAGGAGGAACAGUAAGGAAAUGCAAUGGUUUUGGGCUGGAGGAAGGCAUGAGUGGGAGGAAAAUCAUGCAAUGCUCAGCCAGAUUCUUAACUGUAGAAACAAUUUUCAGGCACAGAGGUAAAGAAAACGGUUUCACAUUUUCAAGCCUUGCAAUAGCUGCACAAUGUUCUAUCAAAGUUUCUGAAUUGCUGCAGAUUCACAGUAGACUAUAUUUACAUUCGCCUGCUAGAGUGUGAAGUAAUCACACAGUAAUUUCAUAAGCAAACUUAAAAACAUUAACAGUUCUAAUUUCUGAGUGAUAGCAUAUUGAUAGUUUUGUUUCAUGUAAUUAAAAAAAGGCAGAAGGAAAAUUUCAAAGUUAAUUGCCACACUUUCAUAUAAUGAUGUGUUAUGGAAGUAAGAAACUUAGCCUUGAAAACCAAAUAAAAUCUGUCAGUGAUGGAACUUGCUUCUGAAAAACGCUUACCUCAGAUAAGACAUGUCUGCUUGUUCAAUCCAGUUAGCGUGCUCCCCCCAAACCCAGUCUUACCACAUUAUUGCUUCUUGUUUCAUGUUUACGUGCUCCCAAAUUUAAUUCUUAUAUUACAAAAAUGUUAUUAAAUAAGCAUAGCAAAUGAAUGUAUUGCUUAUCAUACUCACAUUACUUUUUAGAGGUAGCUCUUAUGAGUGAACCGCGGAAUGAGAAAGAUUUUGUCCUUUAGAGAAAGCCUAUGCAAAAUGUAAAUUUUCGUGGAUCAUUUAAGGUUUUUUCUUUUUUUUUGCCAAACUGUAUUUUCAGAAGCAUAGAAUGCAAUUAAGAGGUCUUGAUACAUUUUAGCAACUUGUGGAUGAAUGGUUAAUGAAUGCUGUUCAUGAAUUGUUAUUAUUCACGAGUCCUUGUUAUUCAUGUCUGGAUUCUUGCUUAUUCAACUGGAACAAGAUUAGUUCAGAACAUGGACUGAGCUCACCAGUCUUCAGUGCAUGCUGUGUCUUUGCAAACAAAUUUCCGAUUUUUGAAUCAUCCUUGUUGUGGUGAAUCAUUAUGAAUCCCAAUGUGUUGCUUAGGCUUUACUUACACAGCUUUUGGAUACCCCUUCAGUGUUUUAACAAGAAAUGUAGUAACUACUGUGCCUCUCAAUAACAAGUGACAAUUCAACAGCAUACACUUUCAUAGCAGUAGAUACCAACUAAGAGAAAAUAGGAUUGCUGUAUUCUGUCAAGCUAAUAAUGUGAAUGACAAGUGUCACUCUUCCUUAGCAUCCAAAGUGGCACAGCAUAGCUGGCACACAGUGCUUGUGCCUGGUCACACGAGACAUUUAGUUAACAGGUGGCCUGCAUCAACUAAAAUAGAUGUGUUGGAAAGGUUGCAUUGAAAUGCAUGCUGCAUACCUCUUUCUCCUAAUCUUUUCCCAUUGCACAAGCACUUUCUGUUCUAUUAAAUUCUGUAUUAAAUGAACAUUGUGUCCUAUAAGAAUUACAGCAAGAGGAAAUUAUUCUCAGUUAUCACAUUACAGAAAUGUAAAGCUAUGAAAAAUAACGACAAAUUAUUUUUUCAUGAUGUUUCUUCAUAGGAGGCUGCACUUACUGUUUUGCAUUCAUAGUUUCAAAGUUGUGCCUCCAUUACAUUACAAAAUGCAGGUGGCCUAAUUAAAGCCAAGACUUAUUAACAGUCGAGUGGGAAGAUCAAAUCGUAAUGAAAGAAAUAUUAUGAAUAAUAUAUAGUCAUUUAUACGGAGCAGAAGCUAAAAUAGGUAGGCAAAUUUUGAAUUAGUUAUCUCAAAUUUAUAGAGAGCACUUUUCCCCAUUUGAACCUUCAAAGGACCCAGUCUGUAAUACACCAUUCAUGUUUAUUGUAGCCUCUUUACCUUUUAAUCUCACCCGUAGUUCUGUUAUUCUUCAGUGUAUCUACUUAAAGGAAUGUAUAGGCCUUAAAAAAACUGUGUUCAUAUGCAUCCUAAACACUUAAAUGGUACUGGAGGCUGACCCUAGGCAAAGCACAGGCUAGCAUAUUCUGUGUGCAUGUGUUGUUGGUGGUGACUGACUGACCGAGAAAUAAAUACAUUUCAAAAUGGAAACAGAAAUAAAUGCUUCAACGUUG